UUUGCGUCGAAGGUAUACCGGUAAGGAGUGCUGGAGCGAAUAGAAGUGAGCAUGCAGGCAUGAGUAGCGAUAAUUAAUGUGAGAAUCAUUAACGCCGUAAACCCAAGGUUUCCUACGCGAUGCUCGUCAUCGUAGGGUUAGUCGGGUCCUAAGUCGAGUCCGAAAGGGGUAGACGAUGGCAAAUUGGUUAAUAUUCCAAUACCAACAUUAGUGUGCGAUGGAAGGACGCUUAGGGCUAAGGGGGCUAGCGGAUGGAAGUGCUAGUCUAAGGUCGUAGGAGGUUGUACAGGCAAAUCCGUAUAACAAUACUCCGAGAACUGAAAGGCUUUUUGAAGUCUUCGGAUGGAUAGAAGAACCCCUGAUGCUGUCGAGCCAAGAAAAGUUUCUAAGUUUAGCUAAUGUUGCCCGUACCGUAAACCGACACAGGUGGGUGGGAUGAGUAUUCUAAGGCGCGUGGAAGAACUCUCUUUAAGGAACUCUGCAAAAUAGCACCGUAUCUUCGGUAUAAGGUGUGGUUCGCUUCGUAUUAGGAUUUACUCCGAAAGCGAAGAAACUUACAACAAAGAGUCCCUCCCGACUGUUUACCAAAAACACAGCACUCUGCUAACUCGUAAGAGGAUGUAUAGGGUGUGACGCCUGCCCGGUGCUCGAAGGUUAAUUGAUGGGGUUAGCAUUAGCGAAGCUCUUGAUCGAAGCCCGAGUAAACGGCGGCCGUAACUAUAACGGUCCUAAGGUAGCGAAAUUCCUUGUCGGUUAAAUACCGACCUGCAUGAAUGGCGUAACGAGAUGGGAGCUGUCUCAAAGAGGGAUCCAGUGAAAUUGUAGUGGAGGUGAAAAUUCCUCCUACCCGCGGCAAGACGGAAAGACCCCGUGGACCUUUACUACAGCUUGACACUGCUACUUGGAUAAGAAUGUGCAGGAUAGGUGGGAGGCUUUGAGUAUAUGACGCCAGUUGUAUAUGAGCCAUUGUUGAGAUACCACUCUUUCUUAUUUGGGUAGCUAACCAGCUUGAGUUAUCCUCAAGUGGGACAAUGUCUGGUGGGUAGUUUGACUGGGGCGGUCGCCUCCCAAAUAAUAACGGAGGCUUACAAAGGUUGGCUCAGAACGGUUGGAAAUCGUUCGUAGAGUAUAAAGGUAUAAGCCAGCUUAACUGCAAGACAUACAAGUCAAGCAGAGACGAAAGUCGGUCUUAGUGAUCCGGUGGUUCUGUGUGGAAGGGCCAUCGCUCAAAGGAUAAAAGGUACCCCGGGGAUAACAGGCUGAUCUCCCCCAAGAGCUCACAUCGACGGGGAGGUUUGGCACCUCGAUGUCGGCUCAUCGCAUCCUGGGGCUGGAGCAGGUCCCAAGGGUAUGGCUGUUCGCCAUUUAAAGCGGUACGCGAGCUGGGUUCAGAACGUCGUGAGACAGUUCGGUCCCUAUCUGCCGUGGGCGUAAGAAGAUUGAAGAGAUUUGACCCUAGUACGAGAGGACCGGGUUGAACAAACCACUGGUGUAGCUGUUGUUCUGCCAAGAGCAUCGCAGCGUAGCUAAGUUUGGAAAGGAUAAACGCUGAAAGCAUCUAAGCGUGAAGCCAACUCUAAGAUGAAUCUUCUCUAAGCUCUCUAGAAGACUACUAGUUUGAUAGGCUGGGUGUGUAAUGGAUGAAAGUCCUUUAGCUGACCAGUACUAAUAGAGCGUUUGGCUUAUCUUUAAUAAAGCAU
rnacentral:rRNA from 1 species